CGACGCAGCAAUGCGCGUGGGGAUGAAGGCCUCGGUUGUAACUCCUUUUAGUGGGAACGAAAAUGACGGUACCACAGAAAAAGCCCCGGCUAACUACGUGC
rnacentral:rRNA from 1 species